GGAAGGAUCAUUAACACGUAUCCACGUAUCUACCUAACGCGAACUUCUUUUUGUUUAUAGUUGUACCAGGUAUUAAUGGAAGCAGAUGACCAUGUCGGUUUUCUUAGGUCCUUUUUUGGCCCUUUGAUGAAACGUUCUGCUUGCCUAUCCUUCCCUCUGUUGAGUGCUAGUGUAUUGAGGUUGACCCAUGACUUCGGUUGUGAGGCAAUCCUAUUAGCCAUAACUCCUUGGGAAUUAGGGUAUCUGGUGUAACUCGAAUCAUGGUGGUUAUUAACAUAUAAACCCUGUCUUCAUUUAUGUUUGUGAGUUCUUCUAGUGACAUCUCGGUGACACUAGUCCUCCCCCCAAUAACACUAUACAACUCUUAGCAACGGAUAUCUCGGUUCUCCUAUCGAUGAAGAACGCAGCGAAAUGCGAUACGUAAUGCGAAUUGCAGAAUUCAGUGAAUCAUCGAAUCUUUGAACGCAAAUUGCACUCUCGGGUAGCCCCGAGAGUACUCUUCUUUCAGUAUCGGUUCCACACGAACUCAGCUGCGUGCUGGAAAAUGAGAGUCAGAGCAUUUACCUUUAUCAGUGAAGCUUUGUCUCUUUAAGUAUUCUAUGCUUGCAACGCCUGUAAUGCCGAAAGGAUGUCUCUACACCAACACCUCGAGUGUACGAAAGUACGGCUUCCAAUAGCAAACAGCGUCACUGUCCUCUGAUAAGUUUCCUUUUAUUUGGAUUCCCCUCUAAGGACUCGGUGGAGAUCGCUGGGAUUGGCCAGAAAAAGUCACUUGGGAUUGGGGAUAUCGGCCGAGUAACGCACUACUAAUGGUGUUCGGAGCUUUCUUUAAGAAAACUGAAUUCUACCUUCGGGAGAAUUUAUGAAUUUGAUCUGAAAUGAAGUGAGACUACCCGCCGAAUUUAAGCAUAUUAUUAAGCGGAGGAAAAGAAACUAACAAGGAUUCCCCUAGUAACGGCGAGUGAAGCGGGAAAAGCUCAACCUGAAAAUCGGUGUACCUAGCGGUGCUCCGAAUUGUGGGGUAGUGACGUAGUGCCAGCGUGUGACCUGGGUAUAAAUCUUUUGAAACAAGGUAUCAGAGAGGGUGAGAAUCCCGUCUUUGACCCGGAGUUUGCCGCGUACGGCCUGCGUUCUAAGAGUCGGAUAGCUUGGGAAUGCUGUCCUAAAUGGGUGGUAAAUUUCAUCUAAAGCUAAAUAUAGAGGAGAGACCGAUAGCGAACAAGUACCGUGAGGGAAAGAUGAAAAGAACUUUGAAAAGAGAGUUAAAAAGUACUUGAAAUUGCUAAGAGGUAAGCACUGGAAACCAGUCAUGCCUGGAGUUAUUUGCCUAUUCGCUGGUUGCACCGGUAGUCGCUGGGACCUUAACGGCCCUGUGACCUCUGUUUGUGAUCAGGGGGUGGGAUCUGUAACUUUGGGCGAGUCAACAUCAGUUAGUCUCGCGGGAGAAUGUUGUUUGGGAGGUAGUCCACCUUAGCAAUAAGGAGGAAACUAAUAUACCAAGCAGCGCUACCGUGGGGCUGACUGAGGAAACGAUAACGCGCCCCGCAAGGGAGCGGUCCCUAGUUCCUGCUCUUGUAGUCGGUGCGGAAAACAAAGUUUUGCGUAUUGGCUAUCUUGGGUACUGAGUUGGGUAGAUCAGCUGCGUGUUCGCGAUGUUGACGAAAUGGUUUUCAUUGACCCGUCUUGAAACACGGACCAAGGAGUCUAACAUAUAUGCGAGUAUUUGGGUGCGUAAAACCCUGAUGCGUAAUGAAAGUAAAGCAGGUCUUAUGACCUGUGAGGUAGGAACCCUGGGCUCGUCUCGGGAGGCACUAUCGACCGAUCGAUCAUUUAUGAGAGAUUUGAGUAAGAGCAUAUCUGUUGGGACCCGAAAGAUGGUGAACUAUGCCUGAUCAGGGCGAAGCCAGGGGAAACUCUGGUGGAGGCUCGUAGCGAUACUGACGUGCAAAUCGUUCGUCUGAAUUGGGUAUAGGGGCGAAAGACUAAUCGAACCAUCUAGUAGCUGGUUCCCUC
rnacentral:misc_RNA from 1 species